CGAGUAGGAGGUGGUCCUGUGAUUGCGAUAAUCUGCUCACGAUCACAUGACACCAAACCAGCUGAGAAGUUCCACUUGGAAGCAAAGGAAAGAAAAUCUGUAAGGAAACAAAUCUGAAGUCACAGAUGCAGUGUUACUAAAGCGAAACAGGGGCCUGCUGAAAAAUUAAUGCCACCGAACGUCAGCGUUGUUUAAAAUUAAGCAGCGUGGGUUGCAUUCAAGCUAAUUCGAGCAAAUCGCACUUUGAUCCAAACUUGUUUUUUUUUUUUUUUCAAAGAAUGACAGCCUGAACACACACACAAGAAAAUCAACAUUCACUCCUUUUUGUAGGAUCUAAUUAAUACAACAGGGAAAUAAUAAUAAGCGAUUCUUCUGUAUUAUUCUCGAUCAAAGCCAGUUUCAUCUCCUUUAAAUGUAAACAAAAGUCAGUCCUGUUCUUUAUUAAAAUUGCUUUGCCCUUUUGUCCUCUCUAACCAUGAAGAUAAAUGUGUUACGGCGCGACAUAAUUGUGUUUACAGUUGGAGAACAAGCGCUGUUUCUAUUUGUCAUUUAUUUUUGAUGAGUUUCUAUUGCGUUCUCAGUUUUCUCAUUGCACCAGGCAAUGAGAGCCCCCAGGAUGAAUCUGUGCUUUUCUGUGUUUAACUCUUGUUUCAGCAAAAAGGAAAAACCAGGGUGAGAAACUAGGAGGGAACACAGCCCACCACCUGUCAGUGAUAUCGGAAUCAACAGGUGAACCCUCCACCCCCACACAUCUCAUCAGGAGGAAGGCUGGUGGGAGCAGGGAGCUGUCUAGAGAGAGACGUAAACGUCAGCUUCUGCAUGAACUCUGCUUCCUCAUCUCAUGGAGUUUGUAGAUGUUGAAACCGGUGCAAAGAAAACUGUGAAAGGACCUCAUCUGCCACCAUGCUCCAUUGCAGACCAAUAAGACGGGGGUGCAGGAAGGUGAGGGGGUUUUGUGGUGGGGACGGAGUCAGGAGAGCGUGACUCGGCUGCAGGAAAGCUCUGCUUGUGAAAGAGGAGAUGGAGGAGCUUGCUGAAAGGCCUUUAGCUGCUGAUCCCAUCCUGUUGUGUGUGUGUGUGUAUAUAUAUGUGUGUGCGUGUGGUGGUCUAUCCAGCAGCUGCACCCUCUCCAGACACCUGUAGGACUUAACAUGCCUGCUUGUCCUUCCUAAAGCACGUUCCACUGCUCUUAACCUCUUAACAUCCACAAGGUCACCAGUGAACCAUACAGUUUGCUUUUGAUUAAGUCACAUGGUAAAAAGGUAAAUACUCAUAACGUAAAGAUGUUACUUGUAAGAUGUGGUCUUUUCUUGCAUUUUGGCUUUAUAGCUGAUAAUCAAAGUAGAAAAAUUUCAAAAUAAAGUGGUAGACGUGAUCCUGUGAUCUUCGUUUUCUGACUACAGCAUGUUGACACUCCUCCCUGUCCUCUGCCAGGACAUACAGUUCUUGAACCUUUGUCUUUAUCAGCUCCUUCAUUGUCCUUAUGUAGGUAAUGUGCGGUUUACUGUAUUUCUGUUAUGCCCUUGGGUUGUACUGUACAGUGCAUGCUGAUGGAUUAUGUUGUCUGGGGGUUUUCGAAGCCAGUGGCCAAAAGUUCAGACUCUGUUUGACUCCUUUCAACUCUUUUCAAAAGCACCUCUUUGUUU
ensembl:lncRNA